rnacentral:snRNA from 1 species
AUACUUACCUGGCAGGGGAGAUACCAUGAUCACGAAGGUGGUUUUCCCAGGGCGAGGCUUAUCCAUUGCACUCCGGAUGUGCUGACCCCUGCGAUUUCCCCAAAUGUGGGAAACUCGACUGCAUAAUUUGUGGUAGUGGGGGACUGCGUUCGCGCUCUCCCAUG